rnacentral:rRNA from 1 species
GAUCCAGCAAUACCGAGUGAGUGAUGAAGGCCCUAGGGUUGUAAAGCUCUUUAGCAAGGAAGAUAAUGACGUUACUUGCAGAAAAAGCCCCGGCUAACUCCGUGCCAGCAGCCGCGGUAAGACGGAGGGGGCUAGCGUUGUUCGGAAUUACUG